rnacentral:rRNA from 1 species
AGCAGCCGCGGUAAUUCCAGCUCCAAUAGCGUAUAUUAAAGUUGUUGCAGUUAAAAAGCUCGUAGUUGAAUUUCGGGAUCAAUACGUCGGUCGUGCUUCGGUACGUACUGGCGUCAUUGAUUUCUCCCUUCUGACGAACCAUGAUGUCAUUAACUUGGUGUCAUGGGAAAUCAGGACUGUUACUUUGAAAAAUUAGAGUGUUUAAAGCAGGCUCACGCUUGAAUACAUUAGCAUGGAAUAAUGAAAUAGGACGUUCGAUCCUAUUUUGUUGGUUUUAGGAUCGACGUAAUGAUUAAUAGGGAUAGUUGGGGGCAUUAGUAUUCAAUUGUCAGAGUGAAAUUCUUGGAUUUAUUGAAGCUAACUACU